rnacentral:rRNA from 1 species
UACGUAGGGGGCAAGCGUUGUCCGGAAUCAUUGGGCGUAAAGAGCGUGUAGGCGGCCUGAUAAGUCGGUUGUGAAAGUCAAGGGCUCAACCCUUGAAUGCCGGCCGAUACUGUCAGGCUAGAGUCCGGAAGAGGCGAGUGGAAUUCCUGGUGUAGCGGUGAAAUGCGUAGAUAUCUGGAGGAACACCGGUGGCGAAGGCGGCGUUCUGGACUGCAACUGACACUGAGAAACGAAAGCCAGGGUAGCAAACGGG